GGAGAUACUGCUCCGGUUUAUCUUACUGUAACGAGUGAAGCAACCCCCUCCACCUUCGCCUUUAUCUUCACCUUAUCUCGGCUCACACCUUAUUUUUAUUGUCCUCCUACCUACGACCUUGCCCCCCGGCGUCUGUAUUCCUCGAAUAGUCAAAGAGGUUCUUCAUUCCUCUUCACCAAAAGUGGAGAACAGAUAUUAUGUGUGUUCUGAACUGAGCAUGUUCGCCUCCUCUGCCAGCUAUCGCCACGCAGCAGCCGGCCUCAUGGAUAUAUGGAUAUUCUUCUUCGCUAUUGCCGGUGACUUCGGGGCUGGGGGGGGGA
rnacentral:misc_RNA from 1 species